CACAGAAGACAUCUGGUCUUUCCAGCACCAGAAUAGUCCAUUUACAAGUUAUUUUAUUUGAAAGAAUUGUUUUAAAUUGUGUUGCAAUUAUAAAAGCUAACAAACGACACAUUUGAACAUUUUAAAAAUGUAUUAAAGAAGUACAUAAUGAAAAUGAUAGAGCAAUCCAAACGUUAAGCUUUUACAUCUUUCAUAUUUUCUGUUUUAUAUCUGUGGUUUAGGGAUGAGUGGAAUUCAACACAGCCUUGUUGAACCUUCAGACCUUGACCAAGUAGCCAACAUUGGUAUCAGAUGGACUGUGCGGUUGUGGUUUUACGCAACGUUGUGAAGCAAUGAUUCUUGUUGUGGAGCGGGGUGAUGUUGGAGACUACUACAAAACCAUAAUGGCUUCAGUUAUCGGACACCCCAGCUUGUAGCUGUAAAGAGUCAGAGUUUUUUGUUCCAUAGUAACCCCAUAACACAAUGCUUGAAAGCUGGAGAUAAUACAUCUUUACAGUCAACUCAUCAAAGCUGUGUUGUUUGUAAAUGUAUGUUUGGUGAUAUUAGAGAGAAACAAUGUAACCAAUUUGACAAUGUGGAAUUAUGACAGUCUGUACAUUUCCAAAAUAUGGGCGAAGUUGAUGAUUUUGGUGCAUUCUAUGCACGCAUUAUGGAAGGUUUGGAUACACUGUUAGAGCUUCAGACUUUGUACAAGGUCCAGCUGACCGCCAAUAAAUAGAACUGUUUGGUGAUUCUCUGAUCUCCUCAUGUGACCAUGAGAGCUGAGGAAUAUAAUGAACACACAUUUGGCAGGUUACUCGAGAGUGUUAUGCAGAGUAAUGCAGAGCUUUUGAUCGAUGAAUCACUAGAGCUAGUGGUGCAAAUUGUCAACAACCGUGAGGGUGGGGGGUGCGAUGUAAGGCUCAAACGCUAUUGCUAAAUCAGAUUAUCACAAAAAAAGAAGGCAUUUAUAUGUUGUGUUGAAUAAUGAUUCUAUGUGCUUUUCAAUUUGUUUGAUGGGUAUGUUGGACCCACAGUACACGUAUGAUGAGGCCGUGGCUAGUGGUUGUGAGUUACCUACAAAUGCUGGUUUAGCCUUAUGUGAUAGUGUGGCAUUCAUGGAUAGCAUCAGGUUUUAACUAAUUACAGGGUGUAAUAUUAUUGUUUUUCGCCGAGCCCAUGAUGGGGGUUUUACGAAGUUUUCUGGGGGUGUCGUAUGUCUGUGAUUGCUGUUAUACAGGUUUUAACACCCGCGGUGAUCACGGUUGUAAACACAGCUUUAGUGUAUGUCUUCAUGACGAUCGUCCUACACAGCCUCGGAACACAAAGCAGUGCCCGGAUUGUAAGCGAAUAUAUUAUUCAGAUUUUUGUUAUAGCCAUCAUAAAGUUCUGAAGUUCCACAAAGGUGCAAGGUCGUUGGGUUAGCAGAUGUGACCAGAAGAAAUACUGUGUAGAUUGUGGUAAUCAAUACACUGUGGUAAUCAAUACAAUGACCAACUAUAAACUUCACAAGUGCAAGGCUAACAUUUGUCCCAAUUGUAAUGUGGAUCUGACUGUUGAAAUUCAUAAUCAAUGUUUCAUAAAACCAUCUAAACCCGAGGAACUAAGUGAGCGCUACAUAUUUGAUAAUUUUGAGACAAUUGCCAAUCCUGUGAACAGUAUACACCAGCACUUCUCAAAGUCCGGACUCCGGUCCGGAUCCGGACCCGGAGGGAAUUCAAUCCGGACCCUCCUCCAUUUCGUAUUUCAACCAUAGACUGUAAAAAAAUAUGGACGUAGUGUCCGUGACGUCAGCAGUAGGUUUGUGAAGAGCAGUUUUGAAGCCUAAAGUGGGCGGAGC
ensembl:lncRNA